GUCGUAACAAGGUUUCCGUAGGUGAACCUGCGGAAGGAUCAUUACCUAGAGUUUGUGGACUUCGGUCUGCUACCUCUUACCCAUGUCUUUUGAGUACCUUCGUUUCCUCGGCGGGUCCGCCCGCCGGUUGGACAACAUUCAAAUCCUUUGCAGUUGCAAUCAGCGUCUGAAAAAACUUAAUAGUUACAACUUUCAACAACGGAUCUCUUGGUUCUGGCAUCGAUGAAGAACGCAGCGAAAUGCGAUAAGUAGUGUGAAUUGCAGAAUUCAGUGAAUCAUCGAAUCUUUGAACGCACAUUGCGCCCCUUGGUAUUCCAUGGGGCAUGCCUGUUCGAGCGUCAUUUGUACCUUCAAGCUCUGCUUGGUGUUGGGUGUUUUGUCUCGCCUCCGCGCGCAGACUCGCCUUAAAACAAUUGGCAGCCGGCGUAUUGAUUUCGGAGCGCAGUACAUCUCGCGCUUUGCACUCAUAACGACGUCGUCCAAAAGUACAUUUUUACACUCUUGACCUCGGAUCAGGUAGGGAUACCCGCUGAACUUAAGCAUAUCA
rnacentral:rRNA from 1 species